GAUGAACGCUAGCUACAGGCUUAACACAUGCAAGUCGAGGGGUAACGAGAGGAAAGCUUGCUUUCCUUGUCGACGACCGGCGCACGGGUGAGUAACGCGUAUCCAACCUGCCCCCAACUAGGGAAUAACCUUGCGAAAGUAAGACUAAUACCCUAUAAUUUCCUCAGAUGACAUCUGACGAGGAAUAAAGAUUUAUCGGUUGUGGAUGGGGAUGCGUCUGAUUAGCUUGUUGGCGGGGUAACGGCCCACCAAGGCAACGAUCAGUAGGGGUUCUGAGAGGAAGGUCCCCCACAUUGGAACUGGGACACGGACCAAACUCCUACGGGAGGCAGCAGUGAGGAAUAUUGGUCAAUGGGCGGAAGCCUGAACCAGCCAAGUAGCGUGCAGGAUGACGGACCUAUGGGUUGUAAACUGCUUUUAUACAGGAAUAAAGUUAGCCACGUGUGGUUAUUUGUAGGUACUGUAUGAAUAAGGACCGGCUAAUUCCGUGCCAGCCGCCGCCGUAA
rnacentral:rRNA from 1 species